ACGUGCCCUCAGACUCCUCGCAGCCAGCGAUGGAGGCGAGACCCCCUAGUAACAGAGGCGGUGGCUACUGCUGCGGCCACUGGGUUUCGGCCUCUUCCCAGCAGCGGCUCUAAGAAGCGCAGCGGAACUCGACCGGAUCCAACCCAGUUAGUUACUUCCUGUCUAGAGUUGUAGCUUCCACCUGCACCUUCUAGCCACCAUGGCAACCUCAUCUGAAGAAGUUUUGCUGAUUGUAAAGAAAGUGCGUCAAAAGAAGCAGGAUGGAGCUCUGUACCUCAUGGCAGAAAGAAUUGCUUGGGCACCUGAAGGCAAAGAUAGAUUUACAAUCAGCCAUAUGUAUGCAGAUAUUAAAUGCCAGAAAAUUAGUCCAGAAGGAAAAGCUAAAAUUCAGCUUCAGCUGGUCCUACAUGCAGGGGACACAACUAACUUCCAUUUUUCCAAUGAAAGCACAGCAGUGAAAGAGCGAGAUGCAGUAAAAGACCUUCUUCAGCAGCUGCUGCCCAAAUUCAAGAGGAAAGCAAAUAAAGAACUGGAAGAGAAGAACAGAAUGCUGCAAGAAGAUCCUGUUUUGUUUCAGCUUUAUAAAGACCUUGUUGUGAGUCAAGUGAUCAGUGCUGAGGAAUUCUGGGCCAAUCGUUUAAAUGUGAAUGCAACAGAUAGUUCUUCCACAUCCAAUCAUAAGCAGGAUGUUGGCAUUUCUGCUGCAUUUCUGGCUGAUGUCCGGCCCCAAACUGAUGGCUGUAACGGUCUGAGAUAUAAUUUAACCUCUGAUAUCAUUGAGUCCAUAUUUAGGACCUAUCCAGCAGUAAAAAUGAAAUAUGCAGAAAAUGUUCCCCACAACAUGACAGAGAAGGAAUUCUGGACACGUUUUUUCCAGUCCCAUUAUUUUCACAGGGAUCGGCUGAAUACAGGGUCAAAGGAUCUCUUUGCAGAAUGUGCCAAAAUAGAUGAAAAAGGCCUAAAAACAAUGGUUUCAUUAGGAGUGAAAAACCCACUACUAGAUUUAACAGCUUUGGAAGAUAAACCAUUAGAUGAGGGCUAUGGCAUUUCCUCUGUGCCAUCUGCUUCCAAUUCUAAAUCCAUAAAAGAGAAUAGUAAUGCUGCCAUCAUCAAGAGAUUUAACCAUCACAGUGCCAUGGUCCUGGCAGCUGGACUCAGAAAACAAGAAGCACAAAAUGAACAAAAUAGUGAGCCCAGCAACAUGGAUGGACAUUCCGGAGAUGCAGACUGCUUUCAGCCAGCAGUCAAAAGGGCGAAAUUACAAGAGUCCAUUGAAUAUGAAGACUUGGGGAAAAAUAAUUCUGUAAAAACGAUUGCACUAAACCUCAAGAAGUCAGAUAGGUAUUAUCAUGGUCCAACUCCAAUCCAGUCACUACAGUAUGCAACAAGUCAGGACAUUAUUAAUUCUUUUCAAAGUAUUAGACAAGAAAUGGAAGCUUAUACACCCAAGUUAACUCAGGUUCUCUCAAGUAGUGCUGCCAGUAGUACCAUCACAGCACUGUCACCUGGAGGGGCACUUAUGCAGGGAGGAACACAGCAAGCCAUAAACCAGAUGGUGCCAAAUGAUAUUCAAUCUGAAUUGAAACACUUAUAUGUAGCUGUUGGAGAACUUCUACGACAUUUCUGGUCCUGCUUUCCUGUUAAUACGCCAUUCCUAGAAGAAAAGGUAGUGAAAAUGAAAAGUAAUUUGGAACGAUUCCAAGUUACGAAGCUCUGUCCAUUCCAAGAAAAGAUUCGGAGACAGUAUUUAAGCACAAAUGUAAGGCAGCAAUCUGAUUUUUGCCUGAUCUUCUUUCUCUUUGUAGUAAAAUGAUGAAAUUGA
rnacentral:sRNA from 1 species